rnacentral:sRNA from 1 species
CUACAAGAUCCAGGACAUCUAUGAGAUCCACAAGGAGUUCUACGACAACCUGUGCCCCAAGGUGCAACAGUGGGACAGCCAGGUCACCAUGGGCCACCUCUUCCAGAAGCUGGCCAGCCAGCUCGGUGUGUACAAAGCAUUUGUGGAUAACUAUAAAGUUGCUCUGGAGACAGCUGAGAAGUGCAGCCAGUCCAACAACCAGUUCCAGAAGAUCUCAGAGGUAGGCAGCUCCCCGCACAGCCACCCUGACAGACACGGAGCUUUGGGGCUGCUCAGAGCCGUUGGUCUCCCCUCCCUCGCUUGCCAGUCGGUGAAGUGGUUACUCUAAUGGGUAACAGUUAGCCUGAUAUUUGCUUUCUUGCACCUGACAUUUUCCCUCUUAAUAGAAAACGAUCUAUUUUAUUUAUUUAUUUUUAAUUCUCUUUCAUAUUAGAGAGAGGAACAGGGGAGGCAAAAAAAAAAAAA